AGGAACCCCAAGGAGCCAAAUUCCACUCAGACAAAUAGAGCAAAGCCAAUUCCUCCUGUAAGGACAUGGGCAUUUGGUCUGUGCAGGAGUUGAUAGGGAUAUGUUUCACAGUAAUGUGUACCAGCUACUUUGGCAAUGUCACAAAGAGUCUGAAAGCAUCAAAAGAAUAGUCACAGGAGAGGAUGUGAGAACAGCUGCUGAUAGACUAGUAUACCUGAAGAGCUGAAGCAAAACUGGGAAACAAUUUAUCCCAAAGCUUACUCUACAAUUCCUUGAAUCUUUAUCAUUUUAUGAUGUCUUCUCUGUUCUUCCAAUACAUUACUGGCCUGUGUCACCUCUGCAUAGCUGAAGAUUCCAUUAAGUCAUAGGUGGAAACUCUGGGCCAGAAUCUGAUCUUGGCAGACAUACCCAGCAACUGCUUGGGAACUGCCAAAUAUUGGAAAUGGAGAGAGUCCAUGAACCAGCUCACAAAGAUCAUAUGUGCUGCUAUGACGAGACCUGAUUCACCCAAAGAAACCAUGAGAAAAUCAGUUGUGUUAACCGUCAGCUGGAAGACACUCAUGAGUGGAUUAUUGCCUGGCUGCUUCCGUUUUCCUCCUAAUAUGCUUUGUUGUGCAGCUAGAGGAACUGAAUGCCUCGUCCUAUGCCGGAAAUGGCUGAAUGUCAAACAGUGGCUGAUAAAAUACAGACAACGUUCACAGCCAAACUCUGUCCCUGUUUUUGUGGAUGUAGUUUCCACUUCACUCAAUAUAAGCUUCAUACAUUCAUAGGCAGAAGGUGGUUCUUCUGUCUGGUGAAGGAGUGCAGUAUUUCAGUUCACAAUCUGAAGGGACAGCAAACGUGAACAUCUGUGCAAUCAGAGCUCAUCUCUGUACACGUCAUGGAAAAUGCCAU
rnacentral:lncRNA from 1 species